CAAGAYGUAGCUUUAAMRAAAGCAUUCAGCUUACACCUGAAAGAUAUCUGCUCAUACCAGGUCGUCUUGA
rnacentral:tRNA from 1 species